rnacentral:rRNA from 1 species
UUGAAAGGGAAACGAUUGAAGCCAGUCAUGCCGGUGGGAAAUCAGCUUCCGGGGUAACCAGGGGGUGCACUUUCUCGCAGGGCAGGUCAGCGUCAGUUUCGCUAGUCGUAAAAAGUCCGUCGGAAUGUGACUCCUUUCGGAGCGUUAUAGCCUCUGGUAGAUGUGGUGGUUGGGAUCGAGGAUUGCAACGAAUACCCUUUGGGCUAUCCGCCUGACCUCUGAAAGUCGCUUGGGUACCGAAAGCUUGCUUAUGGUCAUUCAAGUUGGCGGUCAAAAGGUUAGAACGUGAUUAAAUUCGUUAAGGAUGUUGACGUA